ACGCUCGACACCUACGGGAGGUAGCAGUUGGGAAUAUUGGACAAUGGAGGAAACUCUGAUCCAGUGACGCCGCGUGAAGGAAGAAGGUCUUCGGAUUGUAAACUUAUUUUGUCAGGGAAGAAAAAAUGACUGUACCUGAAGAAAAAGCACCGGCUAACUACGUGCCAACAGCCGCGGUAAUCUGAGCGGGCUGGCAAGGC
rnacentral:rRNA from 1 species